GCGGGUGUAGUUUAGCUKSYAAAACUACAGCCUUCCAAGCUGUUGUCGCGAGUUCGAUUCUCGUCACCC
rnacentral:tRNA from 1 species